AUUGAACGCUGGCGGCAGGCUUAACACAUGCAAGUCGAACGAUGAAGAUAUAGCUUGCUAUAUCGGAUUAGUGGCGGACGGGUGAGUAACACUUAGGAAUCUACCUUUUAGCGGGGGAUAGCUCGGGGAAACUCGAAUUAAUACCGCAUAAUUUCUACGGAAUAAAGAGGGCUUUUAGCUCUCACUAGAAGAUGAGCCUAAGUAAGAUUAGCUAGUUGGUGGGGUAAAAGCCUACCAAGGCGACGAUCUUUAGCUGGUCUGAGAGGAUGAUCAGCCACACUGGGACUGAGACACGGCCCAGACUCCUACGGGAGGCAGCAGUGGGGAAUAUUGGACAAUGGGGGCAACCCUGAUCCAGCCAUGCCGCGUGUGUGAAGAAGGCCUUUUGGUUGUAAAGCACUUUAAGCAGUGAAGAAGACCUAUUGGUUAAUACCCAAUAGCGAUGACAUUAACUGCAGAAUAAGCACCGGCUAACUCUGUGCCAGCAGCCGCGGUAAUACAGAGGGUGCAAGCGUUAAUCGGAAUUACUGGGCGUAAAGCGAGCGUAGGUGGUUAAAUAAGUCAGAUGUGAAAGCCCUGGGCUCAACCUAGGAACGGCAUCUGAAACUAUUUAACUAGAGUAGGUGAGAGGGAAGUAGAAUUUCAGGUGUAGCGGUGAAAUGCGUAGAGAUCUGAAGGAAUACCGAUGGCGAAGCAGCUUCCUGGCAUCAUACUGACACUGGCUCGAAAGCGUGGUAGCAAACAGG
rnacentral:rRNA from 1 species